rnacentral:rRNA from 1 species
AACUCUGAAGUUAAGCGUGCUUGGGCGAGAGUAGUACAAGGAUGGGUGACCUCCUGGGAAGUCCUCGUGUUGCAUUCC